GAUGAACGCUAGCGGCAGGCUUAACACAUGCAAGUCGAGGGGUAGAGGUUGCUUGCAACCUUGAGACCGGCGCACGGGUGCGUAACGCGUAUGCAACCUACCUUUUACAGAGGGAUAGCCCAGAGAAAUUUGGAUUAAUACCUCAUAGUAUAUAACCUUCGCAUGUUGGUUAUAUUAAAGUUCCAACGGUAAAAGAUGGGCAUGCGUCCUAUUAGCUAGAUGGUAAGGUAACGGCUUACCAUGGCUACGAUAGGUAGGGGUCCUGAGAGGGGGGUCCCCCACCGUGGUACUGAGACACGGACCAGAAUCCUACGGGAGGCAGCAGUGAGGAAUGUUAGACAAUGGGCGCUAGCCUGAUCCAGCCAUGCCGCGUGCAGGAAGACGGUCCUAUGGAUUGUAAACUGCUUUUGUACAGGAAGAAACACCCCUUCGUGAAGGGACUUGACGGUACUGUAAGAAUAAGGAUCGGCUAACUCCGUGCCAGCAGCCGCCGUAAGAC
rnacentral:rRNA from 1 species